rnacentral:rRNA from 1 species
ACUAAGCGUACACGGUGGAUGCCUAGGCAAUCAGAGGCGAUGAAGGACGUGCUAAUCUGCGAUAAGCGUCGGUAAGGUGAUAUGAACCGUUACAACCGACGAUUUCCGAAUGGGGAAACCCAGUGCAAUUCGUUGCACUAUCGUUUGAUGAAUACAUAGUCAAACGAAGCGAACCGGGGGAACUGAAACAUCUCAGUACCCCGAGGAAAAGAAAUCAACCGAGAUUCCCCUAGUAGCGGCGAGCGAACGGGGAGCAGCCCAGAGUCUUAAUCAGCAUUAGCAUCAGGAGAACGGUCUGGAAAGUCCGGCAGUAAAGGGUGAUAGCCCCGUAUCCGAAGGUGUUAGUGUUGUGAACUCGACGAGUAGGGCGGGACACGUGUUAUCCUGUCUGAAUAUGGGGGGACCAUCCUCCAAGGCUAAAUACUCCUGAUUGACCGAUAGUGAACCAGUACCGUGAGGGAAAGGCGAAAAGAACCCCGGCGAGGGGAGUGAAAUAGAACCUGAAACCGUG